GACGAACGCUGGCGGCGUGCCUAAUACAUGCAAGUCGAGCGAGCGGAACUAACAGAUUUUCUUCGGUAAUGACGCUAGGAAAUCGUGCGGCGGAUGGGUGAGUAACACGUGGGGAACCUGCCCCAUAGUCUGGGAUACCACUUGGAAACAGGUUCUAAUACCGGAUAAGAAAGCAGAUCGCAUGAUCAGCUUUUAAAACUCGGCGUAAGCUGUCGCUAUGGGAUGGCCCCGCGGUGCAUUAGCUAGUUGGUAAGGUAAAGGCUUACCAAGGCGAUGAUGCAUAGGCGAGUUGAGAGACUGAUCGGCCACAUUGGGACUGAGACACGGCCGAAACUCCGACGGGAGGCAGCAGUAGGGAAUCUUCCACAAUGGACGCAAGUCUGAUGGAGCAACGCCGCGUGAGUGAAGAAGGUUUUCGGAUCGUAAAGCUCUGUUGUUGGUGAAGAAGGAUAGAGGUAGUAACUGGCCUUUAUUUGACGGUAAUCAACCAGAAAGUCACGGCUAACUACGUG
rnacentral:rRNA from 1 species